rnacentral:siRNA from 1 species
CACAUUUCCCUGCCAGGUACCAUA